rnacentral:rRNA from 1 species
CCGUCCCAGUUCGGAUUGCAGGCUGCAACCCGCCUGUAUGAAGUUGGAAUCGCUAGUAAUCGCGGAUCAGCAUGCCGCGGUGAAUACGUUCCCGGGCCUUGUACACACCGCCCGUCACACCAUGAGAGUCGGGAACACCCGAAGUCCGUAGUCUAACUUUCACGAGAGGACGCGGCCGAAGGUGGGUUCGAUAAUUGGGGUGAAGUCGUAACAAGGUAAC